CUGCUGUGCAACCGUUGCAGUGUAUUCAGGUGUCUGAAGUGUGGGAACUUAUUGGUAUAGAUCUUACUGGACCUCUUCCUAAAACUUCAAGCGGCUUCCAGUAUAUACUUACUGCAACUGACUACUUUUCAAAAUGGGUUGAAGCUUUCCCAUUAAAAACGAAAUCUGCAUCUGAGGUAGCCCAGCACUUGUGCUCCAUUAUAUAUAGACAUGGCUGCCCCAAAAGGAUUUUGUCAGACCAAGGCAGAGAGUUUGUGAAUGAACUCAACUCUGAUCUUUGCAAGUUAUUGCAAAUUGAAAGAAGUGUCACAGCAC